CGCCUGGGGAGUGCGGUCGCAAGAUUAAAACUCAAAUGAAUUGACGGGGGCCCGCACAAGCGGUGGAGCAUGUGGUUUAAUUCGAUGCAACGCGAAGAACCUUACCUACUCUUGACAUCCAGAGAACCUUUUAGAGAUAGAAGGGUGCCUUCGGGAACUCUGAGACAGGUGCUGCAUGGCUGUCGUCAGCUCGUGUUGUGAAAUGUUGGGUUAAGUCCCGCAACGAGCGCAACCCUUAUCCUUGUUUGCCAGCACUUCGGGUGGGAACUCCAGGGAGACUGCCGGUGAUAAACCGGAGGAAGGUGGGGACGACGUCAAGUCAUCAUGGCCCUUACGAGUAGGGCUACACACGUGCUACAAUGGCAUAUACAGAGGCUGCCAACUCGCGAGAGUGAGCGAUCCCAUAAGUAUGUCGUAGUCCGGAUGGAUCUGCACUCGACUCC
rnacentral:rRNA from 1 species